ensembl:lncRNA
GUAAGGCUGUCUGUUGACAAAAUCCCUUUUUAUAUCAGGAUUCCUUUAUUACUCAGGUGUUAUCUGGGGAUAAAACAACCAAAAGUGGGUCAGCUGUGUUGUCAUCAGAGCACUUGAAGCGCAAAGCUUGCCAUUAGUGUCAGUGUUUCAUGAGGCAAAGAAUGCCUUAGAAAGAGAGGAAGGGAUUUGGGAGAAGCACUUAAAUUUGGCAAGAACCAAACAAUUAGCACUACAGAUGAGGAUUGUGAAGCCCAGGAGACCUUGCUGAGCUGCUGUGCCAGCAUUACAUGAUCGGGGAGCGUAUCUGAAGCAGGAAAGAAGUGUCUGUAUAUCUGAAAAAUAACAGGAAUCCCUUGCCAAAAUUUUGCCUGAGCUGCUUGUAUCAGCCUUGCAUUAUGGAGAGGCCAAGGAGAUACUGUUUUCCACCACUGUUCCACAGCACGGGUGGUCUUAGAAGCUAACUAUUGCAAGAUCUCAAUACUACUGCUCUAAAUAGACUUAAAAU